AUUGAACGCUGGCGGCAUGCUUUACACAUGCAAGUCGAACGGUAACAGGCCGCAAGGUGCUGACGAGUGGCGAACGGGUGAGUAAUGCAUCGGAACGUGCCCAGUCGUGGGGGAUAACGCAGCGAAAGCUGCGCUAAUACCGCAUACGAUCUAUGGAUGAAAGCGGGGGAUCGUAAGGCCUCGCGCGAUUGGAGCGGCCGAUGUCAGAUCAGGUAGUUGGUGGGGUAAAGGCCUACCAAGCCAACGAUCUGUAGCUGGUCUGAGAGGACGACCAGCCACACUGGGACUGAGACACGGCCAAGACUCCUACGGGAGGCAGCAGUGGGGAAUUUUGGACAAUGGGCGCAAGCCUGAUCCAGCAAUGCCGCGUGCAGGAAGAAGGCCUUCGGGUUGUAAACUGCUUUUGUACGGAACGAAACGGUCCGGGUUAAUACCCUGGGCUAAUGACGGUACCGUAAGAAUAAGCACCGGCUAACUACGUGCCAGCAGCCGCAGUAACAC
rnacentral:rRNA from 1 species